rnacentral:rRNA from 1 species
GCACUAAGUCACUUUGUCUUUAUGGCAAAUGUGAGAUGCAGUGUAUGGAAUGUCAAAUUUCUAGUAUGAGAAAUUAACGAUUUAAGUCCUUCUUAAAUGAGGCCAUUUACCCAUAGAGGGUGCCAGGCCCGUAUAACGUUAAUGAUUACUAGAUGGCAUUUCCAAAGAGUCGUGUUGCUUGAUAGUGCAGCACUAAGUGGGUGGUAAACUCCAUCUAAAACUAAAUAUAACCAUGAGACCGAUAGUAAACAAGUACCGUGAGGGAAAGUUGAAAAGAACUCUGAAUAGAGAGUUAAAUAGUACGUGAAACUGCUUAGAGGUUAAGCCCGAUGAACCUGAAUAUCCAUUAUAGAAAAUUCAUCAUUAUGAUUUUAAUAUUAAUAAUAUUAUAAUAAUGGUGUGCAUUUUUUCUAUAACGGACAUUGUAAUCUAUUAACAUAAAUAUAUUUAUCAUAAGAUCGAUGAUGCGUAAGUUUAUUCAAAUUAUUUUGCUUGCAAUUUAACAUAGAAUAAAUGCUCUUGAUUUGAUAAAGUGUUGAUAGAUUUAUUGUAUAUAGUGCUUAAAUAUUUAUAUUUUAUAAGAGCAUAUUAAUCAUUGAUUUUUAUGUUUAUUAUAUGCACUUAUAUGAUUAACAAUGCGAAAGAUUCAGGAUACCUUCGGGACCCGUCUUGAAACACGGACCAAGGAGUCUAACAUAUUUGCAAGUUAUUGGGUAUCAAAACCUAAUAGCGAAAUUAACAUAACUUUAAUGGGAUUAGUUUUUAGAUUAUUUAUAGUCUAUUAAUUCAAUCCCGGGGCGUUCUAUAUAGUUAUGUAUAAUAAUAUUUAUAUUAUUUAUACCUCUAACUAGAGCGUACCUUGAGCAUAUAUGCUGUGACCCGAAAGAUGGUGAACUAUACUUGAUCAGGUUGAAGUCAGGGGAAACCCUGAUGGAAGACCGAAACAGUUCUGACGUGCAAAUCGAUUGUCAGAAUUGAGUAUA